rnacentral:rRNA from 1 species
GUUGAACGCUGGCGGCAGGCUUAACACAUGCAAGUCGAGCGGGGACUUCGGUCCUAGCGGCGAACGGGUGAGGAAUGCUUGGGAAUCUGCCCAGUAGCGGGGGAUAACGUUUCGAAAGGAACGCUAAUACCGCAUACGCCCUACGGGGGAAAGGGGGGGAUCUUCGGACCUCUCACUAUUGGAUGAGCCCAAGUCGGAUUAGCUAGUUGGUGGGGUAAAGGCCUACCAAGGCGACGAUCCGUAGCUGGUCUGAGAGGAUGAUCAGCCACACUGGAACUGAGACACGGUCCAGACUCCUACGGGAGGCAGCAGUGGGGAAUAUUGGACAAUGGGCGAAAGCCUGAUCCAGCCAUGCCGCGUGUGUGAAGAAGGCCUUCGGGUUGUAAAGCACUUUAAGCGAGGAGGAAUGGCUCUUGGUUAAUAACCUUGAGCAGUGACGUUACUCGCAGAAUAAGCACCGGCUAACUCUGUGCCAGCCGCCGCUGUAAUAC